GAUGAACGCUGGCGGCGUGCCUAAUACAUGCAAGUCGAGCGAACAGACGAGGAGCUUGCUCCUCUGACGUUAGCGGCGGACGGGUGAGUAACACGUGUAUAACCUACCUAUAAGACUGGGAUAACUUCGGGAAACCGGAGCUAAUACCGGAUAAUAUAUUGAACCGCAUGGUUCAAUAGUGAAAGACGGUUUUGCUGUCACUUAUAGAUGGAUCCGCGCCGCAUUAGCUAGUUGGUAAGGUAACGGCUUACCAAGGCAACGAUGCGUAGCCGACCUGAGAGGGUGAUCGGCGACACUGGAACUGAGACACGGUCCAGACUCCUACGGGAGGCAGCAGUAGGGAAUCUUCCGCAAUGGGCGAAAGCCUGACGGAGCAACGCCGCGUGAGUGAUGAAGGUCUUCGGAUCGUAAAACUCUGUUAUUAGGGAAGAACAAAUGUGUAGGUAACUAUGCACGUCUUGACGGUACCUAAUCAGAAAGCCACGGCUAACUACGUG
rnacentral:rRNA from 1 species